rnacentral:rRNA from 1 species
CCUACGGGAGGCAGCAGUGGGGAAUAUUGGACAAUGGGCGAAAGCCUGAUCCAGCCAUGCCGCGUGUGUGAAGAAGGUCUUCGGAUUGUAAAGCACUUUAAGUUGGGAGGAAGGGUUGUAGAUUAAUACUCUGCAAUUUUGACGUUACCGACAGAAUAAGCACCGGCUAACUCUGUGCCAGCAGCCGCGGUAAUACAGAGGGUGCAAGCGUUAAUCGGAAUUACUGGGCGUAAAGCGCGCGUAGGUGGUUUGUUAAGUUGGAUGUGAAAUCCCCGGGCUCAACCUGGGAACUGCAUUCAAAACUGACUGACUAGAGUAUGGUAGAGGGUGGUGGAAUUUCCUGUGUAGCGGUGAAAUGCGUAGAUAUAGGAAGGAACACCAGUGGCGAAGGCGACCACCUGGACUAAUACUGACACUGAGGUGCGAAAGCGUGGGGAGCAAACAGGAUUAGAUACCCUGGUAGUCCACGCCGUAAACGAUGUCAACUAGCCGUUGGAAGCCUUGAGCUUUUAGUGGCGCAGCUAACGCAUUAAGUUGACCGCCUGGGGAGUACGGCCGCAAGGUUAAACUAGAAGUAGUAGCGNGNGAGNGCGACGAGCACAGGAGGAGG